rnacentral:rRNA from 1 species
AUGAUUGCUUGUAUCCCGCCUUAUUCGAUUUUUUUGAAACUUGGACUUGAUUUUGGCCGUGUGCAUCUCAGCUAUGCAGAUGCCAGCUGCUUUUUGCAUCUUCUGGGGAAAAGAUGCACCAUUUUUCAGUCAGUUACAAGGCCAGCUGACAGCUUAGCUUGCCCACAGACCCUACCUAACGAACAGCGACACCAACAAUUGCGAGAAGAGAAUGAAUUCGGUGACGACGACCGCGGGGGAGUGGAUGCCCAGGAAGGGCACAAUGUCAACCUGCAGCCAGCUCUCCACGCCGGACCCGACCGUCGCACCGACUGCCAGCCCCCCGACGGUGAUCAAUGCGGCCUUACCUGCAUGAACAAGGACCACAGAGGCAUUCAUUUCGUUCCAAAUCGAAGCAGGAAGGUUGGCACAAGAGUAGCAGUAAUCAAGGUACAGGACAUUGGGCAAGGUUUCCUCCCACAAUUAAGCAGUGCCAUAACAAACACAAAAGCUGGUUGGAGGUUUGUGGACUUGUGUCAGCCAGAUAGAUCCAUACGUGUUUAA